CGGACGGGUGAGUAAUGUCUGGGAAACUGCCUGGUGGAGGGGGAUAACUACUGGAAACGGUAGCUAAUACCGCAUAACGUCGCAAGACCAAAGAGGGGACCUUAGGGCCUCUUGCCAUCGGAUGUGCCCAGAUGGGAUUAGCUAGUAGGUGGGGUAACGGCUCACCUAGGCGACGAUCCCUAGCUGGUCUGAGAGGAUGACCAGCCACACUGGAACUGAGACACGGUCCAG
rnacentral:rRNA from 1 species